rnacentral:lncRNA from 1 species
AGUUAGUAAAAUAAUAAUGUUUUAUAUCUGUUAAUAUGUUAUUGCUAUGUAUUUAAGUGAUAUAGUAUAGUGUGUUUUGUUAUUUGGAUGUUAUCACUUGCACAUCCACAUGCUUACAGAGAGAAUAUGGUCAACUUUGUGGUAAAAAUGUCUCAUCAAAUACAUAUUACUGUAGUAUAGCAAUAUUCUUUAUUUUUUCC